AAAAACUGAAAGCCAGAAGGAAGCGUAAGCGCUUUACUGGAGUCACAGCACGUUCUCACCAUCUCGAUCAUAGAGUGUCUCCGUUGUUUUCGAUCAGUCUUCCUAGUCUUGGCCUUACGACACGAUCCAACGCGUUUGAUAUCGCGACAAGUCUUUGACUUUUGCGGUGACGUGACACGACCGACAACCAAUAGGUGGCCACGGUGAGCGCACCAGGAGUAGCAGAGUGGCCAUUCAGUUGAUGCAGAAGGACAACAAACGAGGAAUUAUUCAUCCGUGAUCAAUCCAUUGUGGCAAGCGAAGCAAAAACACAAGAACACUUCUGGACCUAUAGAGGUUGACCAAAAGAAAACCACCCAGCCAUCAAUUUUCAAGACCGAUCAUCCUGUUUCGGGUCAAGGACUGCCGGACCUUAUCUCGGCUGACUUCAGGCGAAAGGCAGACUCUACCCUGAAGUGUUCGCCAGUCAGUCGCAGGGCACAUAUAAGACAA